GUGUAGCGUACCUACUAGCCUACGACGGGUACGGGUUGUGAGAGCAAGAGCCCGGAGAUGGAUUCUGAGACACGAAUCCAGGCCCUACGGGGUGCAGCAGGCGCGAAAACUUUACAAUGCUGGCAACAGCGAUAAGGGAACCUCGAGUGCCAGGUUACAAAUCUGGCUGUCGAGAUGCCUAAAAAGCAUUUCAUAGCAAGGGCCGGGCAAGACCGGUGCCAGCCGCCGCGGUAACACCGGCGGCUCGAGUGGUAACCGUUAUUAUUGGGUCUAAAGGGUCUGUAGCCGGCCGGAUAAGUCUCUUGAGAAAUCUGGCAGCUUAACUGUCAGGCUUUCAGGAGAUACUGUCUGGCUCGAGGCCGGGAGAGGUGAGAGGUACUUCAGGGGUAGGGGUGAAAUCUUGUAAUCCUUGAAGGACCACCAGUGGCGAAGGCGUCUCACCAGAACGGACCUGACGGCAAGGGACGAAAGCUAGGGGCACGAACCGGAUUAGAUACCCGGGUAGUCCUAGCCGUAAACGAUACUCGCUAGGUGUCGGCCACGGUGCGACCGUUGUCGGUGCCGUAGGGAAGCCGUGAAGCGAGC
rnacentral:rRNA from 1 species